rnacentral:rRNA from 1 species
GAUGAACGCUAGCUACAGGCUUAACACAUGCAAGUCGAGGGGAAACGAUAGAGAAAGCUUGCUUUUUCUAGGCGUCGACCGGCGCACGGGUGAGUAACGCGUAUCCAACCUGCCCAUCACUUGGGGAUAACCUUGCGAAAGUAAGACUAAUACCCAAUGAUAUCUCUAGAAGACAUCUGAAAGAGAUUAAAGAUUUAUCGGUGAUGGAUGGGGAUGCGUCUGAUUAGCUUGUUGGCGGGGGUAACGGCCCACCAAGGCGACGAUCAGUAGGGGUUCUGAGAGGAAGGUCCCCCACAUUGGAACUGAGACACGGUCCAAACUCCUACGGGAGGCAGCAGUGAGGAAUAUUGGUCAAUGGACGAGAGUCUGAACCAGCCAAGUAGCGUGCAGGAUGGCGGCCCUAUGGGUUGUAAACUGCUUUUAUAAGGGAAUAAAGUGAGUCUCGUGAGGCUUUUUGCAUGUACCUUAUGAAUAAGGACCGGCUAAUUCCGUGCCAGCAGCCG